rnacentral:lncRNA from 1 species
UUUGUUCGUAGAGACAUUUUAUAGGUGGUGAUAAAGAGCAUACUUAAACAAUAGAAUAUCUUUUACGCACUUUUAGUGGUAGAACAUAUUGUUUUUUUUUUUUUUGAUCAAAGUGGUAGAACAUAUUGUAAAAUCAUAUAUUAAUCUUAAUAAUACGAUGACUUGACGGAUGUGUUGCAUCUAAAAUAUUUUGUGAAUAAGUUGUGCAAUCAUAUUUUAGCUGAGUGUGUGAAAUAACGUUUUUCA